rnacentral:rRNA from 1 species
CAGUAGCCGCGGGAAUACGUAGGGUGCAAGCGUUAAUCGGAAUUACUGGGCGUAAAGCGUGCGCAGGCGGUUCGUUAAGACAGAUGUGAAAUCCCCGGGCUUAACCUGGGAACUGCAUUUGUGACUGGCGGGCUAGAGUAUGGCAGAGGGGGGUAGAAUUCCACGUGUAGCAGUGAAAUGCGUAGAGAUGUGGAGGAAUACCGAUGGCGAAGGCAGCCCCCUGGGCCAAUACUGACGCUCAUGCACGAAAGCGUGGGGAGCAAACAGGAUUAGAUACCCCGGUAGUCCCUGUCUCUUAUAC